ACGCACGCUGGCGGCGUGCCUAAUACAUGCAAGUUGAGCGCUGAAGGUUGGUACUUGUACCCACUGGAUGAGCAGCGAACGGGUGAGUAACGCGUGGGGAAUCUGCCUUUGAGCGGGGGACAACAUUUGGAAACGAAUGCUAAUACCGCAUAAAAACUUUAAACACAAGUUUUAAGUUUGAAAGAUGCAAUUGCAUCACUCAAAGAUGAUCCCGCGUUGUAUUAGCUAGUUGGUGAGGUAAAGGCUCACCAAGGCGAUGAUACAUAGCCGACCUGAGAGGGUGAUCGGCCACAUUGGGACUGAGACACGGCCCAAACUCCUACGGGAGGCAGCAGUAGGGAAUCUUCGGCAAUGGACGAAAGUCUGACCGAGCAACGCCGCGUGAGUGAAGAAGGUUUUCGGAUCGUAAAACUCUGUUGGUAGAGAAGAACGUUGGUGAGAGUGGAAAGCUCAUCAAGUGACGGUAACUACCCAGAAAGGGACGGCUAACUACGUG
rnacentral:rRNA from 1 species